AUGCCACCUUUCGCGCACGACACGGAAGGCCUGCCGUUCAUGAAGCAUGGUUGUGUCUUCCGUGCGCACCGCCGGAUGAACGACAUGCUGGGACACGCUAUCCCUGAUUUAUGCCGCUUCAGCUUGGAUGAGUCUCCAUCUAAAUGUGUUAUGUAUACGUGCAACUUGUGUGGUUCUUGCACGGGCUCCAACACGCUCUUUGAGAAAAAAAAAGGUGGCACAGCUUUGGAUAUACGUGACGUGGCGGCAUCAUACAGUAGCAUCGUUCGCUAUAGUUUAGUAGUAGAAUUGAGAUUUAAUGCACUUUCUUCCCCGUCUUCCACUCUUCUUCCUCCUCUCUUCUUCUUCCUCCUCUCUUCCCCAUCGUCGGCCGCACACCAUUUCCCUCCGCUCACUGCUCGCCCGCCCGCGCUAUCUUCCUUGGUAGCUCGCAGGUACCAUAUCCCCCCGCUCACUGCUCGGCCACACGAGGAGAAGCUUCUUCACUCGCCCGCCCGAAUCCACUUCCCCGCUGGCUCGCAGGACCUGGAAUCAUACCAGCCGAUGGGUGGUGGUUUAUCGCUUGUUCAGCUGACGGUGUACCAUAUAACUGGAAUUAACCCAUGCAAGUUGAAGAAGGAUUGGCCGGUGCUGCCGGCUGGCGUCAAGUUCGAUCCCACGGAUCAGGAGCCGAUCGAGCACCUUGAGGCCAAAGUGAGUGCUGACAGCGCGAGAUCUCACCUUCUCAUCGAUUUGUUCAUACCAACCAUCGACAGCGAGCACGACAUAUGCUACACCCAUCCUGAGAAAUUUCCAGGUAUCACACUGAGUGACCUAAGCAAGCAUUUCUUCCAGCGCAAUUCCAGGGCGUUCAAAAGGGGCACGUGGACACGUCGCAAGAUACAGUCAGAGUGCGGCAUGCACGCGAUGUGGCACAACACCGGCAAUACCUUGCCGGUGAUGGUCAACGGCCGGCAGACGGGCAGCAAAAAGGUUCUGGUGCUGCACACCAACAAGAACUUCGACCAGCAGAGGACCAACUGGGUGAUGCACCAGUACCACCUCGGGGACCUGGAGCAAGAGAAGGAGCGGGAGCUGGUCCUCUGCAAGAUUUUCUACCAGACGAACACUAGGGCCGGGAGUAAAAAGAUUAUAAGUCGAGCAAGUUUCAACUGGGCUGUAGACUGCCGAGGCUUGGUUUUGUUUUUAACACGCCCAGCCCAUGACGACAACGGGGCACAAAGAUCCAGCAACGCGUUUUCACCGCGCCGCGACCCAGUCAGCCACGUAAUCGGGCCGCUGCUCCGCAGACCGAGUGAGGGAUCAUCUCGUUCCUCGGGCCGAUCAGAGGCCGAAAGCCCACGUUAUGCAACAAGGUUUUGGACGGAUCUGAUGAUCGAGAGGUUGAUGGAUCAAGCAUGCCUGAUAAGGCUGAGUGCACCAUUAGAAAAGGCAAGGGGCGCACGCAUCGCAUCGCAUCGCAUCGCCGCCGUUUGCGCGGAGCGGAUGCGCUCGUGCCCGUGCCCUGGCCCGCACGCCAGUGGCUCCGAGCACUCACCCUCGCAGCUUAAUAAUCGUCUUCAAUUAACGGUGGGCCCCAGCCGGCCUCCACCGAGCCCGCCCGGGAUCGCGGCCGCGUGUGCCGCAACGUGCCGAGCGCCGCAUGCACCAGACGUUUCCUCCCACCCACACACCCACACACGCACACCCAUUCGAUCUCUCCGCCCCUCGAAAUCCCCUCCCGGCCGCGUUCCAUGGCCGCGCGCCCCGCCUCCUCCGCCCAGGCACUCUGGUGACCGACGCCGCACGGACCGCGACCGCGACCGCGACACCCGCCGCCGGCCUCUCUGGUUCGUCGCCUCUCCCACCCCCUCCCUCUCUCUCUCUCUCCUCGCCGUUUCGGGUCGCCCCACGCGCGCGCAGUCGCUGCCCGUCCCCGCCGAUCCUUCGGUUUCCCGUCGUGUGCCCGGGUUCGGCGGCGGCCCGGGCUGUGGUUGGUACGUCCGUGCCCCGCCCGGCCGGAGGUUUCGAGUUCGCGGAGCGGGCGUCGGUUCUCCGGGCCGUGGGUGUGGUGCCGCCGUCGGUGGGUUCGUGCAGGCUUCUCUGCGCCGGAUGCUUACCCAGAUCCGCCUCCCGCGACGCAUCCCGUGGCUCGGGCUCAUCGCGUGGUGUCGUUUGGACGCCUGA
rnacentral:rRNA from 1 species